GGAAAGAAAGAAGGUGCAAGAAAAACCAAAGAAGAAGGCAAGAGAAGCCAAGUGGGAGACCAGAUUGGAAAUUGCCAAAAACAAAGAAGAAAGCUAAAAGAACAACCCCUGGUGCUCGAAAUCGGGCUAUAAACAGUGUUAUCAAGGGAAAACGAUCGAGUUUUGUCAAAGUAUCAGGUGUUGUAAGCUCCAAUUCGAACGUGGGCAAGGACGUGACGCUUGGCUAGAUCUGAGUUUCUAUUUCAUUUUGUACCUAUGUAAUCCGAGCAGUGUAUUGUAAUAAGGAUGCUCGAGCUUGUAACAAGCGUGUGAGUGACCGAUGGUUGUAGCUUUGAUAUACGAGCAUGGGCAAUAUCUCAAUUGAUGCACUUUGAAUGUUAUAUAGGGAGGCUUCCAUGAUCAGGGUUUAUUCGCUAGUUUGGGCAUGUGUUGCAGUUGUAACUACAAGUAGUGAGUUGCAUCUUUUGCAUUUAUUGCAAGUUGUAUGCAUAUCUUGUACAUAUAAAGGAAAUAUA